ACAUACGGCCAUGCCACCCUGAACAAGCCCAAUCCCGUCUGAUCUCAGAAGCUAGGCAGGGUCGGGCCUGCUUAGUACUUGGAUGAGAGAAGACACACUACAGCCAGAUGCUACGAGCCGGCACCCUUAGCC
rnacentral:rRNA from 1 species